GGGGAAGGGAGGGAGGGGAGGGGAGGAGAAGGGAGGAGAAGGGAGGAGCAGAACAGAAUAACAUGGAAAGAACAAACCAGAGCUGAACCAAAAAUCAAGGGCAGGAUGUUGUAGCGUCUCGGAUGGGGUUCAAAUUCUGUCUCCUCCUGAGAAGUCUCCUGAGCCUGCUAUGAGGUCUCAGCUUGCACCCUAUUGCCUCUGGCACCAAUGGAGCACCUACCCCAUGCAGGGUCCUUCAGAAACAAAGAGUGAGAUAGCUUCCAGUCUCAGGUGGGAAAUAUGUAGACUUGCAAAAAAGGGGCAGAGAAGGACAGGAACAACAAAAAGGCAGACUGCCACACGCAACACCUCAUUUGGAUGUGUCUGGAGUCUUGGAAGCUUGACUACAUUCGCCUACAAAUGGACUUUGAGAGCUUGUUUGGAGGUUCUAGCAGGGGAGCGCAGCUACUUGUAUACCCUUGACCAAGAACAGUCCUCUACUAGGGAAGGCUGUCCUCUUCCAAAUGGACCUCGAGAGCUUGUUUGGAGGUUCUAGCAGGGGAGCGCAGCUACUUGUAUACCCUUGACCAAAGAACAGUCCUCCUAUCUUGAGGAAGGCUGUCCUCUUCUGAAACUGCCUUUGCAAAUGUUAUAGCAGUGAGAAAAUUAUGACAGUGAAAGAAAUCUGACCUAACCGAUUCCAUCUUGCUUCUAACCUGCCAGCUGCCUUUGUUCAUUCUUGGGCAUAGGGAGCACUCAAUUUGGGAGAAAUUUAGUUUAUAGUUUAACUUUGAAACAAAGAUGAUAACAGCCCCUCCCUGACACAAACCCACUAGAUUGGCCACAAGAUUAGAAAUUACGGCUCAGAAGUCGUGCAGCCAGAGGCUUUGAGACCACUAACCUCUCCAAUUGUUCCUAUAGAUAAUAUUAUUAUUGUAAAACCUAAGAUUGGUGUUUGAGGUAUUUUUCAGACCCUGCAUUCUGAUGGAUCAGCUGGCACCACCCAGACCAGUAAACUGGCUCAUCUGGUCUUCUGGCCCCCACCCAGGAACCAACUCAGUGCAAGAGGACAGCUUCAACUCCCUGUGAUUUCAUCCCCAACCCAACCAAUCAGCAUUCCGUCUUCCCUAGCCCCCUGCCCACCAAACUACCUUUCAAAAACCCUAGCUUCCAAAUUUUCAGGGAGGCUGACUUGAGUAAUAAAACCCCUGUCUCCUGUUUAGCUGGCUCUAUUUGUAUCAAACUCUUUCUCUAUUACAAUUCCUGUGUCUUGAUAAACUUGUUCUAUCUGGGCAGUGGGCAAGAAGAACGCAUUGGGUGGUUAAACCAAGUGUACAGCUUCAGGAGGGACGCACAUGGAACAGUAAAGGGAGAAGGGUACACAGGUCUAGCCAGCUAGGUCAGCCAAAUUGAGACAGACUAGGAGUGGGGCUUGGUGGCAGCUCACCUGCACUAGAGCUUUCUUUCACGCAUUCCCACUGAUCACAAACCCACACCACUACCUCACUGAUACCAUGUUUAAGCAUGCUUUUUAGUUAACAAAUUCCAGGAACUGGCCUUAGGAAAUCCAAGUAUCAAGCCAAGGUUGUGGAGUAUUCCGCCUCAGGAAGAAAUGCUGAACAACUGAUUUACAGACUUGUUGCCCCAGCCAGACUACCAGGUAGUCCAUUACUUAAGAUAGCCAUUAUGACCAGAUAAUGCUAACCUGCAUACCCUACCCUUCACAUGCUUUGUCCAGCCCAGCCUGCAUACCCUACCCCUGAUGUCAAUUCUCAUGCUUUGCCUAAUAAAAAAAAAAAAAGCCCUACCAGCUCUGCACAGAGUCAGUUAGAGAAUUCUCCUUGUGCUGCCUCCCUUAUGUCCAGGCAAAAGCUCCAAUGAAGUCUUGUCUCAGAAAACU